rnacentral:rRNA from 1 species
UGUUUAUUGAAUAUCUAUAAUAAAUAAGCCCUGCCCAGUGAAAAUUUUCAACGGCCGCGGUAUCCUAACCGUGCAAAGGUAGCAUAAUCACUUGUCUAUUAAUUGUAGACUAGAAUGAAUGGGAUAACGAAAUAAGAUCUAUCUAAAAGAUUUCUAUAUAAACUAAUAUUUAAGUGAAGAAGCUUAAAUAAAAUAACAGGACAAGAAGACCCUAUAGAGCUUUAGUACAAAUAAAUAAUAUUUAUUAAAACUUCGGUUGGGGCGACCCAGGAUAAAUCAUCCUGAUAAAAUAAGACUUAUUAGUCUAAAAAUGAACAUAUUAAGAUUAAAGAUCAAGCUACCUUAGGGAUAACAGGCUAAUCUUUCUAUAGAGUCCACAUCUAAAGAAAGGAUUGGCACCUCGAUGUUGGCUUAGAGAAUCAAAUUGGCGCAGCAGUCAAUAAAUGAAGGUUUGUUCAACCUAUAAUUCUC